ACUCCGGAUCCUAACUAGCCCUUUGACGUCCUUCAAUGUCUGCACCCCCAAGAACCUGCUAGGCUACCUUGGCGUGGAGGUGGCAGGUGAGCCUCCGGACUAGACUCACCUGCCGCAAGUCACUGCGGCUCGUCGGCCCCUCCCCCGCGCGCCUGCCCUGGGGUUCAGAUUACCUGCGCGGACUCUCUCCCCGAGAGGUAGAAGCCCUAGGGGACCGGGAGGGGCACCCUGCCGCACCCGAGACUUCUAGGGCGAGUUCGCAGGUGUGGGCUCCGCAGUGCCUCCUCUCCCAGCGCAGACCAAGGCGAAGCUGGGCUUCGGGGAAGGACGCAUUUCUCCCUCGCCGCCCCCCGCGGUUGUGUAGAGCCCCAAGACUUGAAGAUGGGGGGCAAUGCCUGUUCACGAUCGUUGCUGCACGACCCCUCACGCAGAUUUCCAGGAAGUUACUGUGGCCUUCACGACUUGACUGGAGGAGACAUGAGAUAAAUAAGCAGAAGAACAAAUAAAAGUGCCUGAGAUCAGGACUGUGAGGAACGUAAGACAACACCCCGAGAUUGAGUAGCUGUCCUGAAGGAGAGAGUGGCAGGGACAUCACUGGCCUACUUUACAUGAGAUGGCCAAGGAAGACCCCUCAAGAGCUGGAAUUUGGGCUGAGACAUAAAGAAAAGAAGGGCUGGCAUUGCUAUCCACUCCAGAAGGAAGAUGGGAACAGAAGAAGGAUGGAGCUGAGAGCGUUUAGAGAGUAGGAGAAAAGGAGAUUGAGAUGAGAGUACAGAAUGGGCAGGGCCGGGAGACAAGAAACCUCCUGAGCCAAAAAUAGAGUCAGUGAAGACACUGUACCAGUGGUGACUAUUGUACUUGCAAUUUUUUUUUUUAGAGAAUUUUGUUUAUUAAUCAUUCAACCACAGUAACCCAAAUUUCAUAUUCUCUGCACCUGCUCUAAGAAGAAAGAAAAUAAAAACAAGCUGUGUUCAAUGUUGGUGAGUUCCUGUCUAAGCCCCUGAGGCUGAACUGAGAUUUGACCUUUCUACCCCACGAGGCCUGAACUCUGACGUUGCAAGUGGGGUGAGAUAUUGGGUUGAAAAUUGUCUCUCCUGGAAUGUAUACAACAGGGGAUCAAAGAACUCUGUGGUUAAGCAAUCUAGACUUCUGUCUAUCCCCAGGCUGGGCCUCAUGCUCACCAACAUAAUAGCAUUUUCUCAAAUGCAGCUACCUCCAUAGCACCCUACAUCCCCAAACCCCUAGGCUGAUCGGUACCCAUUCUCCCUGAGGGUUUCUGGCCCUCUUGUAAAGUGAACAGUGGUAGAGUGGAGUGAUAACUUGAUGUUCCUUGUGUUUGCCAAUCAUGUGAUGCUAGAGUUGUCUCUUCUCCAUGCUGGGCCUGGUGUCUCAGCCUUUCAGGUAAUGCUGAUGCUCUCUGUCACGACAGAGAUGUUCAAGGAAAAUCUAUGUGCAGGAGCAUCCUGUAAAUCCUAAAGGCCAUGUGCACGCUGGGCAUGAUUCACAGCCCAUGAUGACUUUGUGUAAGGAGUAGGAGAGCCUCCUGCUGUGGGCCUCUUUGUAACAAAUCUCCGCACACUCCUGAUGUUUGUGUGUCCCCAGCCAGCGUGUUAAGUCCAAAGGACGUAUGAGUCCUACUCAUUAUCAAGGAAGAGGCUAGGCCCUGCUGCCUCCAAGUCUGGUUUUCACAAUGAAUCAAACAGAGUCGAAGGAGGGGUAGAGUACUCCCAUCCUGUGUGUGUUUGCUUGGCCUGUAACCAGCAAAUCUCAGUGACCAGCUAAUUUUGCUUUGCUAGGAACUUGAAUGGUUUUAGUCCUGAACACUUCUGGCCAAAGCUAAUGGCAAUAGUGGUCAUCCGACCUGGGUGCCUCCCUGUCUUGGUCAUUGCCCUCCACCCUGAACAAAGAGCUGUCAUGAGAACUGGGUUAGGUAUGUUACAAUGAUGGAAAAGAGUGGGUACAGAAAGCAGGGAAAAUUGAGUUUUCAGAGAUGCUGCUUUUAACAGAGACUAGGGCAGACGGUCAUCCAAUCAAAGAGACUAUUAGAUGAACACUUAUUCUGUCUUUUGUUCAUUUGUUAUAAGUUUCAUUCCCUGGGAUAGGUGAUACCCACUGUACCCAUGUCACCUUUGAGAGCUAUUCACCUGUAGCUCUGUUCCCAGCCUGCCAGACUUUGGCUACGAAAUCAAUGUAGGAGUGUUACACACUGACACAGUUCCAGAUUAAGGAGAGAGGUACCAGAGGCUGCCUAAUCAUGAGAUAUUUUUUUUCUUUCUUUCUGUUUCAUUUUUUCUUAGAUAACUAGGCCAGACUCUUUCCAACAGGAAGGGCAUGAGUUACUCUGCAGAUGGACAGAGACAAGACAGGGGGGCCCCUUAGCAGAAGCUAGAGCUGCACCUGCACCCUGGGACCUCAAGCCAUCCCACCUACUGCUCACACAUUUCUCUUGCUAUCAGGCUGUCUCGGAGAGAGAAGAGAUGGAGCCGGUCCUCCAUCAGGCCCACUGCUUCAGGGGGCCCUGUGAUCAUAUUGUUGAUGUUGCCGGAAAUGUGAUUUGUGCUCAGGAGUCUGAGAUUGUAGCUGGGCUCCCUCAGGAGCCUCAUGAAAAAUGCAUUUCACCAGGCGGUUCCAGGGGAGAGACUGGCUUAAAUUACAGCUCUAGGAAUCCAAAUAUUGGCAUAUCUGCAAAUCCAAAUGUGAGGGGGGGGGGGGACCUAAAUUCCAAGAAUCUCAUUCUGCACUUUUUGUGUGCAAAAGGGGUGAUGGGAUUCAGAAAGGGGAGAUUCAGAGGCUUCAGAAGAGAACACCCCAACUCUUCCACCCUUUUCUCUCCCCAUGCAUCCUGCAUGCCUUCAAAGAAACAGGCUGUGACACAGAGGAGAAGGUAGCAUUUGUUCAGUGUGACAGUUUUUAGUACAGGUGGGGCACAGGAGGGCUCAGCCAUCUCUGUCUGCCCCUCCCUGUACAGUUUUCUGGAUCUAGGAUGAAGGUUUCUUAUGGAUCAGUAACGGCACUACAGUCAUUCACAACCCAGCAGGGUGAGGGAUCCUGCGCCACUGUGAGAGAAGCCAAGUUAUUUCUCUGCUCAAAAUCCUCAUCUGCCUUAGAGAGGGGUGGGGUGUUCCUACUGUAGGCUCCAAGGUCAUUUCACUAGUUUUCUCCUCAUCACAAGACAAGAUGGCCCUUCAUUAUUCCCUUCCCCCAUGGCAAGUGCACAUCUCCCUCAGAAUCUAAACUUUUCUCAUUCCUUCUGCAUGGAGUACUUACUUGUCCCUGCAAAGCUCAUCAGACUCUGUUCAGUCUUCACUAAGAUACCAGCUUCCAGAUACAUAUUCCCUGACAACAUUAUUUUAAAAUCCCUAGACUUCUCAUACAUGCUCUUGCGUACAGCAGUGACUUAGAUGUGGACCCAAGGGGGUCUGUGGCUUGGUAUUGAAGAGAUGGUAUCUUUAAAUAGUGAAACUUCCUGGAAGAUGGUUAGAUCAUUGGUGACACUUCCAGUGGAAGGAAUUGUGAUAAUUCUAGAUUCCUGAUUUGUUCCCAAGAGAGUGAGUUGUUAUAAGAGCAAGCCUGAUUGGCUUCCUGUCUGAUCAUGUGACCUCUCCCCUGCACGUGCUACAGCUAUAGUGGUGGCAUCCAUCACAAGGCAUGAGUCAAGCAGAAGCUGGGACCAUGGUCUUUAUCCUGUAAAAUGGAGUAAAUAAACCUUUUUCUUUGGAAGUACCCAGCCUUAGAUGUUUUGUUACAGCCAUGGAAAUAGAUGAUCAUAACCCAUUUCUGUUCUGUUAUAUAUUAUUUAAACUAUGUAUUUAUUUCCUUUUCUUAUUUUGUAUAAGUUAGUAACUUGAUUUGGUUGUCAUAGCUCAUAUAUUAUAAGAUCUGAAUUAUAGUUGAUUGAAUAAUUGACAGUAUCUUUAUGGGGCAUCUCUAUCCCUCUUCACAAUAUAAUUUCUCUUUAAUUUACAGGGGGACUAUCAAGCUCUAAAAUUUAAGUAACUGCCUAUAUUGUAACCAGCACAAUAGUCCAGAAAUCUGGGCUUCAGACAGGUCUUUGAACUGGACUUGGGUGCAUCAAGAAAUAUAACCUUGUGCUACCUUGCAUGGUAUCUACCAGUC
rnacentral:lncRNA from 1 species